CUACGGGAGGCAGCAGUGGGGAAUUUUCCGCAAUGGGCGAAAGCCUGACGGAGCAAUACCGCGUGAGGGAAGACGGCCUAUGGGUUGUAAACCUCUUUUUUCAGGGAGGAAUUUUGACGUGUACCUGAAGAAUAAGCGUCGGCUAACUCCGUGCCAGCAGCCGCGGUAAGACGGAGGAUGCAAGUGUUAUCCGGAAUCACUGGGCGUAAAGCGUCUGUAGGUGGUUAAGCAAGUCGACUGUUAAAUCUUGAGGCUCAACUUCAAAAUCGCAGUCGAAACUGUUUGACUAGAGUAUAGUAGGGGUAAAGGGAAUUUCCAGUGGAGCGGUGAAAUGCGUAGAUAUUGGAAAGAACACCGAUGGCGAAGGCACUUUACUGGGCUAUUACUGACACUCAGAGACGAAAGCUAGGGUAGCAAAUGGGAUUAGAUACCCCAGUAGUCCUAGCCGUAAACAAUGGAUACUAGAUGUUGAACAGAUCGACCUGUGCAGUAUCAAAGCUAACGCGUUAAGUAUCCCGCCUGGGAAGUAUGCUCGCAAGAGUGAAACUCAAAG
rnacentral:rRNA from 1 species